rnacentral:lncRNA from 1 species
UAUAUAUAUAUUUGAACUAGGCUGGAAUACUAUCAAUAGCACCAAGCUAUUGAUGCUAUUAGUUUUUUAGCCCUUCGAUUGAGAAAUGUGUGGUUAGGAUGAUGUGGGCCCCCUAAGGUUGAGUGAGUGAUUGGUUGAAUAGUAUAAUCUAACGGAUAAAAAUAAUCAAAGGGUUAAAUCUAACGAUGGAAAACUCAAUAGCACCAAAUCCUUGGUGCUAUUAAUAGUAUUUCAGCCGGACUCUAUUUAUUUAUUAUAUAUAGUAUUUUAUUUUUAUAUAGAAAUAUUAUUAUAUAAUAUUUUAUUUAUAAGCAUAAUAUAAUUUGCUAUUUUUUUACUUAAUUAAUUAGCUUAGUUUUGCAGCUCUUUAUUCUUAUAUUCUCAAGAAAUAUGAAUAUUUAUGCUAAUAGCAUAAAUCUUGAGAGAAAAAAAAUUUAAUUUAAUAGCCGAAUUUUUAAUCCCGAAUUUUUAAUUGGUGAACGUAUAAUAUCCGUAUAAAUCAUGUAUCCAAAUAAUUGCUGAAUCUGUUUUUUAACCAUAUUUUUCAACGAAUUUAAAAAUUAAAAAAUAAAUUUUAUCCGAAUUAUACCCGUAUCAAAUUUUUGCUGAAUCCGAAUUAACUAACUAUGAGCUUAAACAAGU